ensembl:lncRNA
CUGUAAAAUAUCUACGGUGGCCUGCGUGGACACACUGGAGGGAGACAGUGAAGGACACAUCCGCUUCAAGACCCCCGAGGAAGCCCAGGCCGUCGUCAAGGACCGCUCGGCCGUCGCCAAGGAACACGGCUGGACGCUGGAUCUGCUCUCUGGUGAUCAUGAGCAAAGGUAUUGGCAGGAGAUUUUGGUGGACCGCUAAGUGAAGUUGAACCGUCCGAGGGAAAAGAAACGAGGGACAGAAAAGACUCGACUCCCACUCGCUGACUCACUGUUCACUGUGUUAAGUUAGCAGAGUGGUGCAGAGGGACUGGCCUGGGCAACAACAUCCCGAUUCUGAACAUGAUGCGCUCCUCAGCUGAAGGGAACUUAAUUGUAACGU